GCUGGCGUUCGCUGUUGCUUCAAACCUCACUCGUCUCUCCCCCAAAGUGUAUGUUUCUCAUAUGCUCAACUUGUCUCAAUUCUCCAAAUUGAACCCCAAAUCCCCAAAUUCUUAGGAGAGUGGCACAAGCUCUGAAAAUAGGAUUUUGUUCGCACAAAGUGCGUAAUUUGCGGGAUCCCAUGCCUGACUCUUAAGCCAAGACGGAACAAUGUGGUAUUGGAGAGAUGUUGAUAAUUAUUGAGAAUCAUUUCGUAAUAACAAUAGUCUGUCGGCACUGAUUCACUCCUGAACAGACAUAUUGGUUUAUUUCCAAAACAACCACUGUAUUUUAAACGAAAUUAAC
rnacentral:sRNA from 1 species